GACGAACGCUGGCGGCGUGCCUAAUACAUGCCAGUAGAACGCACAGUUUAUACCGUAGCUUGCUACACCAUAAACUGUGAGUUGCGAACGGGUGAGUAACGCGUAGGUAACCUGCCUGGUAGCGGGGGAUAACUAUUGGAAACGAUAGCUAAUACCGCAUAAUAUUGAUUAUUGCAUGAUAAUUGAUUGAAAGAUGCUAUUGCAUCACUACCAGAUGGACCUGCGUUGUAUUAGCUAGUAGGUGAGGUAACGGCUCACCUAGGCGACGAUACAUAGCCGACCUGAGAGGGUGAUCGGCCACACUGGGACUGAGACACGGCCCAGACUCCUACGGGAGGCAGCAGUAGGGAAUCUUCGGCAAUGGACGAAAGUCUGACCGAGCAACGCCGCGUGAGUGAAGAAGGGUUUCGGAUCGUAAAGCUCUGUUGUAAGAGAAGAACGGGUGUGAGAGUGGAAAGUUCACACUGUGACGGUAUCUUACCAGAAAGGGACGGCUAACUACGUG
rnacentral:rRNA from 1 species